rnacentral:rRNA from 1 species
UACAGAGGCGGCAAGCGUUGUUCGGAAUCACUGGGCAUAAAGGGCGCGUAGGUGGUCAGGAAGGUUAGGGGUGAAAUCCCUCGGCUCAACCGGGGAAACGCCUCUAAAACCGCCUGGCUGGAGCGAAACAGGGGAGAGUGGAACUCGUGGUGGAGCGGUGAAAUGCGUAGAUAUCACGAGGAACGCCGGCGGCGAAGGCGACUCUCUGGGUUUCUGCUGACGCUGAGGCGCGAAAGCUGGGGGAGCAAACGGGAUUAGAUACCCCGGUAGUCCCAGCCGUAAACGAUGAGCACUAGGUAGAAGAGGUACCCAAUCCUUUUCUGCCGGAGUAAACACGCUAAGUGCUCCGCCUGGGGAGUACGGCCGCAAGGUUGAA